rnacentral:rRNA from 1 species
UCCCGGAUUUACUGGGCGUAAAGCGUCUGUAGGCGGAGUGGAAAGUUGGGCGUGAAAGCUCCGGGCUUAACCCGGAGAGGACGUUCAAUACUACCAAACUAGAGGGCAUCAGAGGAGCGUGGAAUUUCCGGUGUAGCGGUAAAAUGCGCAGAUAUCGGAAGGAACACCAGUGGCGAAGGCGGCGCUCUGGGAUGCACCUGACGCUAAGAGACGAAAGCUAGGGGAGCGAGCAGGAUUAGAGACCCUGGUAGUCCUAGCCGUAAACGAUGGAUGCUAGGUGUAUGGUCGAGAGAUCGUGUGCCGGAGCAAACGCGAUAAGCAUCCCGCCUGGGGAGUACGGCCGCAAGGCUGAAACUCAAACGAAUUGACGGGGCCCCGCACAAGCAGCGGAGCGUGUGGUUUAAUUCGAUGCUACACGAAGAACCUUACCUGGGUUUGACAUGUAAGUGGUAAUGAGGCGAAAGCCGAGUGACCCUUCGGGGAGCUUACACAGGUGCUGCAUGGCUGUCGUCAGCUCGUGCCGUGAGGUGUCGGGUUAAGUCCCGUAACGAGCGCAACCCUUACCCUUAGUUACAAGUGUCUAAGGGGACUGCCGGCGGUAAGCCGGAGGAAGGUGGGGAUGACGUCAAGUCAGCAUGGCCCAUAUGUCCAGGGCUACACACACGCUACAAUGGUUGGUACAAAGGGCAGCGAAACCGCGAGGUGGAGCGAAUCCCAACAAAGCCAAUCUUAGUUCGGAUUGCAGGCUGCAACUCGCCUGCAUGAAGCUGGAGUUGCUAGUAACCGCGCGUCAGCUAUAGUGCGGUGAAUACGUUCCCGGAGCUUGUACACACCGCCCGUCACGUCAUGGGAGUUGGUAACGCCUGAAGCUGGUAGCCUAGCCCGCAAGGGGGGGCGCCAUCGAAGGCGGGGCCGGCAACUGGGACGAAGUCGUAACAAGGUAACC